UUCGAGGGUUCCAAAGAAAUAUUAUCGAUGCAGAAAUUAUGGUUGGAGACCAUGCCGGAAAGCGAAUCUUCCUACCACGGAUUCCAUUAUGUCCCUCAGAUGAUGAGAUGUUCCCGUUUCAGUUUAAGAGGAAGCAGUUUCCUAUUAGACUCAGUUUUGCCAUGACGAUUAACAAAGCAGAGGGGCAGACUCUCCCCAAUGUUGGUGUGUAUUUGCCUGAACCAGUGUUCUCUCAUGGUCAGCUGUAUGUUGCACUAUCUAGAGCCACUGCCAGAUCGAAUAUUAGGAUCCUUGUUGUCCCGCCCAGUGAUAGGAAUGAUAAGAAAAAGAAGACAAAAAUAAAUGGUAUAUACACGAAAAAUAUUGUCUACAAGGAGGUCCUCACUCUAUAAAAAGGUAGUAGAAGAAGUUUGUGAAUAAUAGGAGACAAGUAGUGUAUGAUGAUCUUUUGGACAUGUUACUGAUUAGAUGUACUCGUUAUAUUAUAAUAUGUUUUCAAUAACUAUAUGUGAAUUUAUGUUUA